rnacentral:rRNA from 1 species
GACGAACGCUGGCGGCGUGCCUAAUACAUGCAAGUAGAACGCUGAAGAGAGGAGCUUGCUCUUCUUGGAUGAGUUGCGAACGGGUGAGUAACGCGUAGGUAACCUGCCUGGUAGCGGGGGAUAACUAUUGGAAACGAUAGCUAAUACCGCAUAAAAUUGAUUAUUGCAUGAUAAUUAAUUGAAAGAUGCAAUUGCAUCACUACCAGAUGGACCUGCGUUGUAUUAGCUAGUUGGUGAGGUAACGGCUCACCAAGGCGACGAUACAUAGCCGACCUGAGAGGGUGAUCGGCCACACUGGGACUGAGACACGGCCCAGACUCCUACGGGAGGCAGCAGUAGGGAAUCUUCGGCAAUGGGGGGAACCCUGACCGAGCAACGCCGCGUGAGUGAAGAAGGUUUUCGGAUCGUAAAGCUCUGUUGUAAGAGAAGAACGGGUGUGAGAGUGGAAAGUUCACACUGUGACGGUAUCUUACCAGAAAGGGACGGCUAACUACGUGCCAGCAGCCGCGGUAAUACGUAGGUCCCGAGCGUUGUCCGGAUUUAUUGGGCGUAAAGCGAGCGCAGGCGGUUAGAUAAGUCUGAAGUUAAAGGCUGUGGCUUAACCAUAGUAUGCUUUGGAAACUGUUUAACUUGAGUGCAGAAGGGGAGAGUGGAAUUCCAUGUGUAGCGGUGAAAUGCGUAGAUAUAUGGAGGAACACCGGUGGCGAAAGCGGCUCUCUGGUCUGUAACUGACGCUGAGGCUCGAAAGCGUGGGGAGCAAACAGGAUUAGAUACCCUGAUAGUCCACGCCGUAAACGAUGAGUGCUAGGUGUUAGGCCCUUUCCGGGGCUUAGUGCCGCAGCUAACGCAUUAAGCACUCCGCCUGGGGAGUACGACCGCAAGGUUGAAACUCAAAGGAAUUGACGGGGGCCCGCACAAGCGGUGGAGCAUGUGGUUUAAUUCGAAGCAACGCGAAGAACCUUACCAGGUCUUGACAUCCCUCUGACCGCUCUAGAGAUAGAGUUUUCCUUCGGGACAGAGGUGACAGGUGGUGCAUGGUUGUCGUCAGCUCGUGUCGUGAGAUGUUGGGUUAAGUCCCGCAACGAGCGCAACCCCUAUUGUUAGUUGCCAUCAUUGAGUUGGGCACUCUAGCGAGACUGCCGGUAAUAAACCGGAGGAAGGUGGGGAUGACGUCAAAUCAUCAUGCCCCUUAUGACCUGGGCUACACACGUGCUACAAUGGCUGGUACAACGAGUCGCAAGCCGGUGACGGCAAGCUAAUCUCUGAAAGCCAGUCUCAGUUCGGAUUGUAGGCUGCAACUCGCCUACAUGAAGUCGGAAUCGCUAGUAAUCGCGGAUCAGCACGCCGCGGUGAAUACGUUCCCGGGCCU